GACGAACGCUGGCGGCGUGCUUAACACAUGCAAGUCGUACGGUAAGGCCCUUUCGGGGGUACACGAGUGGCGAACGGGUGAAUAACACGUGAGUAACCUGCCCACUACUUUGGGAUAACGCUAGGAAACUGGUGCCAAUACUGGAUAUGUGCUCCUGCUGCAUGGUGGGGGUUGGAAAGCUCCGGCGGUUGUGGAUGGACUCGCGGCCUAUCAGCUUGUUGGUGGGGUAGUGGCCUACCAAGGCGGCGGCGGGUAGCCGGCCUGAGAGGGUGACCGGCCACAUUGGGACUGAGGUACGGCCCAGACUCCGACGGGAGGCAGCAGUGGGGAAUAUUGCACAAUGGGCGCAAGCCUGAUGCAGCAACGCCGCGUGCGGGAUGACGGCCUUCGGGUUGUAAACCGCUUUCAGCAGGGACGAAGCUUUUUGUGACGGUACCUGCAGAAGAAGCACCGGCUAACUACGUG
rnacentral:rRNA from 1 species